rnacentral:rRNA from 1 species
GAUCAUGGCUCAGGAUGAACGCUAGCUACAGGCUUAACACAUGCAAGUCGAGGGGCAUCAUUGGAGUAGCAAUACUCAGAUGGCGACCGGCGCACGGGUGAGUAACACGUAUCCAACCUGCCGCUUACUCGGGGAUAGCCUUUCGAAAGAAAGAUUAAUACCCGAUGGUAUAAAGAGUUCGCAUGUUCUCUUUAUUAAAGAAUUUCGGUAAGCGAUGGGGAUGCGUUCCAUUAGAUAGUUGGCGGGUAACGGCCCACCAAGUCUACGAUGGAUAGGGGUUCUGAGAGGAAGGUCCCCCACAUUGGAACUGAGACACGGUCCAAACUCCUACGGGAGGCAGCAGUGAGGAAUAUUGGUCAAUGGACGAGAGUCUGAACCAGCCAAGUAGCGUGAAGGAUGACUGCCCUAUGGGUUGUAAACUUCUUUUAUAAGGGAAUAAAGUGAGGGACGUGUCCCUUUUUGUAUGUACCUUAUGAAUAAGGAUCGGCUAACUCCGUGCCAGCAGCAGC